rnacentral:rRNA from 1 species
CAGGUACAGAGAGAAGCCAGGUGGCGACACCGAGCGGAACUCGAAAGCCUGUCUCAGUUCGGAUCGGAGUCUGCAACCCGACUCCGUGAAGCUGGAUUCGCUAGUAAUCGCGCAUCAGCCAUGGCGCGGUGAAUACGUUCCCGGGCCUUGUACACACCGCCCGUCAAGCCAUGGAAGCCGGGAGUGCCUGAAGUAUGCAACCGCAAGGAGCGUCCUAAGGUAAAACCGGUGACUGGGGCUAAGUCGUAACAAGGUAAC